UUCCAUAUAAUAAUUUUUAUGGUAGUACCUGCUCUAUGCAUUAUAUUGUAAAUGGCCGCAGUAUCUUGACUGUGCGAAGGUAGCAUAAUUAAUUGCCUUAUAAUUGAAGGCUUGUUUGAAUGGUUUGACGAGAUAAUUACAAAUAUUUAUUUUUUAGUUGAAAUUAGUAUGGAGUGUACAGAACCCUCCUUAAAUUAAUUAGACGGAAAGACCCCAGGAUCUUUUAUUUUUGUCUGGGGCAGAUGAGGAUUUUUUAUCCUUAUUAUGACCCUUUUUGGUUUAGUGGUUUAAGUUACCCUGGGGAUAACAGUGUAAUAGUUUAUUAGAGAUCUUAUCGAAUAAAUUGUUUGCUACCUCGAUGUUGACUUAGGUAGAUAGGCUAGGCGCAGUAGUUUAGUUUUUUGGUCUGUUCGACCUUAAAUACCUCC
rnacentral:rRNA from 1 species